rnacentral:snRNA from 2 species
AGCUUUGCGCAGUGACAUUACCGUAACCGAUGAGGUCCAUCCGAGGCGCGGUUAUUGCUGAUUGAAAACUUUUCCCAAUACCCCGCGAGACGACUUGAAACAUAGUCGGCUUUGCAAUUUUUGUGGGCCCUGCUUAGGG